UAUGAAAUAUAAUUCUUGUGGAAGUCC
rnacentral:piRNA from 1 species